rnacentral:sRNA from 1 species
AGAUAGCCCUGAUAGAAGCGGAAAUCCUUUUAUGUUUUCUUUAUAAACAUAAAAGAUUGAAGCGAAUAGCAGGAAUAGCU